rnacentral:rRNA from 1 species
AACAAACGCUGGCGGCGUGCCUAAUACAUGCAAGUCGAACGGGGAAAGCUUUCGGGUGAGUACUAGUGGCGCACGGGUGAGGAACGCGUGGAUAAUCUGCCUUAGAGUGGGGGAUAACUAGUCGAAAGAUUAGCUAAUACCGCAUAAGACCACGAGAGCUGCGGCUUUUGAGGUCAAAGGUUUUUCGCUCUAAGAUGAGUCCGCGUAAGAUUAGCUAGUUGGUGAGGUAACGGCUCACCAAGGCGACGAUCUUUAACUGGUCUGAGAGGAUGAUCAGUCACACUGGAACUGAGACACGGUCCAGACUCCUACGGGAGGCGGCAGUAGGGAAUAUUGCACAAUGGAGGAAACUCUGAUGCAGCGACGCCGCGUGAGUGAUGAAGGCCUUCGGGUCGUAAAGCUCUGUCGCAGGGGAAUAACACAAUGAAGGUACCCUGUAAGAAAGGAUCGGCUAACUUCGUG